UUGAACGCUGGCGGCAUGCCUUACACCUGCAAGUCGAACGGCAGCACGGGUGCUUGCACCUGGUGGCGAGUGGCGAACGGGUGAGUAAUACAUCGGAACAUGUCCUGUAGUGGGGGAUAGCCCGGCGAAAGCCGGAUUAAUACCGCAUACGAUCUACGGAUGAAAGCGGGGGACCUUCGGGCCUCGCGCUAUAGGGUUGGCCGAUGGCUGAUUAGCUAGUUGGUGGGGUAAAGGCCUACCAAGGCGACGAUCAGUAGCUGGUCUGAGAGGACGACCAGCCACACUGGGACUGAGACACGGCCCAGACUCCUACGGGAGGCAGCAGUGGGGAAUUUUGGACAAUGGGCGAAAGCCUGAUCCAGCAAUGCCGCGUGUGUGAAGAAGGCCUUCGGGUUGUAAAGCACUUUUGUCCGGAAAGAAAUCCUUGGCUCUAAUACAGUCGGGGGAUGACGGUACCGGAAGAAUAAGCACCGGCUAACUACGUG
rnacentral:rRNA from 1 species